UGAGAUUCAGGUUCACUGAGAGAAGUUGUCUCAAAGAGAAUUAGAAAGAGUGUCAUAGGGGAAGACCUCUGAUAUCCUCUGGCUGCCAAGUGCAUGUGGCUUCACACACACACACACACACACACACACACACACACACAAGUGCAUGUGGCUUCACACACACACACACACACACACACACACACACACACACACAGAGUCUUAGUUCCAAGCAUUGUGACAAGAGCUAGAACCCUGCUAGAACCUCUUCUUUGUUCCAGAAGAGAUACAGCAGCAUUGUGAGGCCCAGAAGUUUGCAGAUUCUGUGGCUGUGUGGAAAGUCAGUAUGUCCUGGGGCACUACUGAGGCAGAAGCAUUUGGCAAGAAUUCUCCUAAACUGUGCAAAUUAACAUGAAUACCAAACUUCCCAACGGGUGGUCUUGCACUUAGGAAUUCACCCGGUAUUUUUUUUUCAUCAAGCCAAUGUCUCUACAAGUCAACCUUUCCUUAAAUGGUUCUUUUAUCCA